GGGCUUGCCUUGCACUACAUUAGCUUUUAUCGGGCGAUAAACAAGGGCACUACGUGACACAGAGUCGAACAGAGAGUCGCCCAAAGUCGCCGGGGAUCGGGGUCCAAUCCCAGAAGAGAGCACCCGCAAAGUCUGCUGGGUCGCCGCGUAUGGCCAAUGAACGGCAACCUGGAAGUAAAAGAUGUUAGUUUAUAUUAACACUACCGUCGCAACGCUAGAAGGUUCCUCGAGCAAGCCCGGUGAUAGAGCAGAUACCUUUCUUUCAUUUGGCUGUAGCAAACUUUACAAAGAAGGAAAACGUUAAGCUA